rnacentral:rRNA from 1 species
GAUGAACGCUGGCGGCGUGCCUAAUACAUGCAAGUCGAGCGAACGGACGAGAAGCUUGCUUCGCUGAUGUUAGCGGCGGACGGGAGAGAAACACGUGGAUAACCUACCUAUAAGACGGGGAAAACUUCGGGAAACCGGAGCUAAUACCGGAUAAUAUUUUGAACCGCAUGGUUCAAAAGUGAAAGACGGUCUUGGUGUAACUUAUAGAUGGAUCCGCGCUGCAUUAGCUAGUUGGUAAGGUAACGGCUUACCAAGGCAACGAUGCAUAGCCGACCUCAGAGGCUGAUAGGCCACACUGGAACUGGGCCAGGGUCCAGACUCCUGCGGGAGGCAGCAGUAGGGAAUCUUCCGCAAUGGGCGAAAGCCUGACGGAGCAGCGCCACGUGAGUUAUGGAGGUGUUCCGUUCGUAAAACUCUGUUAUUAGUGAAGAACAUAUGUGUAAGUAACUGUGCACAGCUUGACGGUACCUAAUCAGAAAGCCACGGCUAACUACGUG